rnacentral:lncRNA from 1 species
AUUUUGAUGCGAAUUCCACUGCCCCAAGGACAGCUGCCUAGUCACCUACUCGGGAAUCAGGUGACUUCACCAGAGCCUCCCCACUGAAUUUGUAAAGUACAGGUGAGGGGCAGGUACAGGAUAGAAGGAGGCCUGUCAUUGGAGGAGAAGGAAGGAUAGGUGGGAGGGAAGUUUGAAGGAAGAGGAGGAGAUCAGAACAGAAAGGAAGAGACCGGACAGAGGAGAGGAAUGAACUCACGUGGUGGGUAAAAAAAUGAAAAGAAAAUCAAUCUGAUUACAAAAGAUGAAGAUUGCUUGUGGACACUGUAAAUGAAGGCCUGUCACCUGAUACCUAGCCGAAACUCCAGCCCAGGAAGAGCCCACUGCAUUAAAGGCACGCAAUCCAAAGCUGGAAAGUUCAACAAGUGCAUGAACAGAAGAGACCUUCCGGAAUGCUGAAUUUGCACUGAGCUGCUGAGGCCCGGUGUGUUUCUCUGGG